CCUUACCUGGCCUUGACAUACUAAGAACUUUCCAGAGAUGGAUUGGUGCCUUCGGGAACUUAGAUACAGGUGCUGCAUGGCUGUCGUCAGCCCGUGUCGUGAGAUGUUGGGUUAAGUCCGCAACGAGCGCAACCCUUUUCCUUAUUUGCCAGCGGGUAAUGCCGGGAACUUUAAGGAUACUGCCAGUGACAAACUGGAGGAAGGCGGGGACGACGUCAAGUCAUCAUGGCCCUUACGGCCAGGGCUACACACGUGCUACAAUGGUCGGUACAAAGGGUUGCUACCUCGCGAGAGGAUGCUAAUCUCAAAAAGCCGAUCGUAGUCCGGAUCGCAGUCUGCAACUCGACUGCGUGAAGUCGGAAUCGCUAGUAAUCGCGGAUCAGAAUGCCGCGGUGAAUACGUUCCCGGGCCUUGUACACACCGCCCGUCACACCAUGGGAGUUUGUUGCACCAGAAGUAGGUAGUCUAACCGCAAGGAGGACGCUUACCACGGUGUGGCCGAUGACUGGGGUGAAGUCGUAACAAGGUAGGCGUAGAUGA
rnacentral:rRNA from 1 species